AGCGAACGCUGGCGGCAUGCCUAACACAUGCAAGUCGAACGAGACCUUCGGAACAAGUGGCUCACGGGGGCGGCGAGCGGGGGAACCGGCCGUUAGAUUCGGAAUAACACCCCGAAAGGGGGGCUAAUACCGGAUAAUUUCUGCGAACCCAAGAUUUAUCGCCUUUGUGUGGGCAGGCGUUGUUUUAGCUCUUUGCUAGUGUAAGAGCCUACCAAGGCGACGAUCGAUAGCGGGGCUGAGAGGAUGAUCAGCCACACUGGGACUGAGACCCGGCGGAGACUCCUACGGGAUGGACGAGGGGCUAAUACUGCACUACCGGCGAGAGGCUGAUCGAGUUAUGCCGCGUGAGUCAUGAAGGCCUGAGGGUUGUAAAGCUCGUUUACCCGCGAUGAUAAUGACAGUACCGAAAGAAUAAGCACCGGCUAACUUCGUG
rnacentral:rRNA from 1 species